rnacentral:rRNA from 1 species
AGUGAACGCUGGCGGUAGGCCUAACACAUGCAAGUCGAACGGCAGCACAGUAAGAGCUUGCUCUUACGGGUGGCGAGUGGCGGACGGGUGAGGAAUACAUCGGAAUCUACUUUUUCGUGGGGGAUAACGUAGGGAAACUUACGCUAAUACCGCAUACGACCUACGGGUGAAAGCAGGGGAUCUUCGGACCUUGCGCGAUUGAAUGAGCCGAUGUCGGAUUAGCUAGUUGGCGGGGUAAAGGCCCACCAAGGCGACGAUCCGUAGCUGGUCUGAGAGGAUGAUCGGCCACACUGGAACUGAGACACGGUCCUGACUCCUACGGGAGGCAGCAGUAGGGAAUAUUGGACAAUGGGCGCAAGCCUGAUCCAGCCAUACCGCGUGGGUGAAGAAGGCCUUCGGGUUGUAAAGCCCUUUUGUUGGGAAAGAAAAGCAGCAGGUUAAUACCCCGCUGUUCUGACGGUACCCAAAGAAUAAGCACCGGCUAACUUCGUG